UCUCGCGGCGGCAGGCUGCGGCCGCCGGGGGAGCACAGGGUCAGCACGAAGGCCGCCCUGGUCGCGAGCCGGAACGCGAUCGUGUCAGUGCUGUGACCAUUCACGCCCUUGCGCUUUACCAGAUCUACUUGAUCCCUGCUGUGCUCAUCGUUGUGGGCAAGGCGCUCAGCGUCUCGUGAAGGACCCGGCCAAUCAGGAUGCUGCGCAUCUGUUCCAUUCCGGUUCCAACAUCUACAAUGCCGGAUACCCGGCUCUGUCUGUUGUGCACUGCUGCUCCCUCAUUCCCUACAUUCUGCUGAGAUUGGUGUGAUUUGUGAGGGAUAAGUGCGUGGGAUCGUCGCUGGCGGCUUGAUGCCCGAAUGUGAGGUGACCUUUUGAGCUGAACUUUCCACGCUCAGAAGGAAGAUGAAUAGACUGAUGGAAGUGCUCAGUGAACUUUUGAGCUGAAUAGACUUGCCCCAGAAUUACACGGCAUGAUUCCAGUAUAGUGUGUUCCUAUAAUUUGACUCCCUCCGUCAGAACCGUUCUGGGCAUGCCAGUAUUCCUUUCUUUUUCUAGCUAGUUAUGCAGGUUAAGGUGAAUAGGAUCUAUAUAGCAAGACUUAAUGCAUGGGUUUAUCGUGUUUGAAUUGGCUGUCUAGCAUACUUAUGUUUCAUGCCGCAGAGCUGCAUACGGUACCUGUAUGCUAAUCCUUUUUUUAUCAUUGCUUGAUUGGUCCGCGGCUGUGCGGUGUCAUGUAAAAUUGUGAGUUACUCAAUACACCUGAUAACCCAAUGUAUCAGUUGCAAUGCUGGGGUUGGCAGUUAUUCCGUUUGUUA